AAAACGACUCUCGGCAACGGAUAUCUCGGCUCUCGCAUCGAUGAAGAACGUAGCGAAAUGCGAUACUUGGUGUGAUUGCAAAAUCCCGUGAACCAUCGAGUCUUUGAACGCAAGUUGCGCCCGAAGCCAUUAGGCUGAGGGCACGUCUGCCUGGGCGUCACGC
rnacentral:rRNA from 1 species